GCUGGGCGCGGUGGCACAUGCCUGUAAUCCCAGCAGCUUGGGAGGCUGAGGUAGGAGGAUCACAAGUUCAAAGCCAGACUCAGCAAUUUAGUGAAAUCCUAAGUAACUUAGUGAGACUGUGUCUCAA
rnacentral:sRNA from 1 species